UUGAGUUGGUUGAAAACGUGCAUGCAGCGUCUGAGCGAUGCUCAGCUUCUCGCUGCUCUCUUUUCUGGCUCCUUUCCAUUCAUAUGUCUGUUUUCUUCCACC
rnacentral:ribozyme from 1 species